CCUACGGGAUCUGCAGUGGGGAAUAUUGGACAAUGGGCGAAAGCCUGAUCCAGCCAUGCCGCGUGUGUGAAGAAGGCCUUCGGGUUGUAAAGCACUUUCAGUGGGGAAGAAAGCCUUGGGGCUAAUACCCUCGAGGAAGGACAUCACCCACAGAAGAAGCACCGGCUAACUCCGUGCCAGCAGCCGCGGUAAUACGGAGGGUGCGAGCGUUAAUCGGAAUUACUGGGCGUAAAGCGCGCGUAGGCGGUCUGAUAAGCCGGUUGUGAAAGCCCCGGGCUCAACCUGGGAACGGCAUCCGGAACUGUCAGGCUAGAGUGCAGGAGAGGAAGGUAGAAUUCCCGGUGUAGCGGUGAAAUGCGUAGAGAUCGGGAGGAAUACCAGUGGCGAAGGCGGCCUUCUGGACUGACACUGACGCUGAGGUGCGAAAGCGUGGGUAGCAAACAGGAUUAGAUACCCGAGUAGUC
rnacentral:rRNA from 1 species